rnacentral:rRNA from 1 species
AUUGAACGCUGGCGGCAUGCCUUACACAUGCAAGUCGAACGGUAACGGGCCUUCGGCCUGCCGGCGAGUGGCGAACGGGUGAGUAAUGCAUCGGAACGUGCCCAUGUCGUGGGGGAUAACGUAGCGAAAGCUACGCUAAUACCGCAUACGCCCUGAGGGGGAAAGCGGGGGAUUCUUCGGAACCUCGCGCGAUUGGAGCGGCCGAUGUCGGAUUAGCUAGUAGGUGAGGUAAAGGCUCACCUAGGAAACGCGAUCCGUAGCGGGUCUGAGAGGAUGAUCCGCCACACUGGGACUGAGACACGGCCCAGACUCCUACGGGAGGCAGCAGUGGGGAAUUUUGGACAAUGGGCGAAAGCCUGAUCCAGCCAUGCCGCGUGAGUGAAGAAGGCC